rnacentral:rRNA from 1 species
UGGCGGACGGGUGAGUAACGCGUGGAAAACCUGCCGUAUACUGGGGGAGUAACACUUAGAAAUAGGUGCUAAUACCGCAUAAGCGCACAGCUUCGCAUGAAGCGGUGUGAAAAACUCUGGUGGUAUACGAUGGUUCCGCGUCUGAUUAGCUAGUUGGUGGGGUAAUGGCCUACCAAGGCAACGAUCAGUAGCCGGCCUGAGAGGGUGAACGGCCACAUUGGGACUGAGACACGGCCCAAACUCCUACGGGAGGCAGCAG